rnacentral:rRNA from 1 species
UGGGGAAUUUUGGACAAUGGGGGAAACCCUGAUCCAGCCAUCCCGCGUGUGCGAUGAAGGCCUUCGGGUUGUAAAGCACUUUUUGCAGGAAAGAAACGUCAUGGGUUAAUACCCCGUGAAACUGACGGUACCUGCAGAAUAAGCACCGGCUAACUACGUGCCAGCAGCCGCGGUAAUACGUAGGGUGCAAGCGUUAAUCGGAAUUACUGGGCGUAAAGCGUGCGCAGGCGGCUCGGAAAGAAAGAUGUGAAAUCCCAGAGCUCAACUUUGGAACUGCAUUUUUAACUACCGGGCUAGAGUGUGUCAGAGGGAGGUGGAAUUCCGCGUGUGGCAGUGAAAUGCGUAGAUAUGCGGAGGAACACCGAUGGCGAAGGCAGCCUCCUGGGAUAACACUGACGCUCAUGCACGAAAGCGUGGGGAGCAAACAGG